GGAAGAAUGACUUCUCGUGUCUAGCUCACAGCACUCCUGUUAAUGCAGCCCAGAACCAGAGGAGUUUCCUUGGUGCACCCCAUGUAAAGUGUUGGGGCCACACAUCCAUGCAAGGAGCUGAUUGCAAGGCCUGUACCUGGGAUGGAAGUGUUCGCUGUAUGUACCUGUGGAACACAAAAUAAAAGUGCGUUCCCCUUA